rnacentral:rRNA from 1 species
UACGGAGGGUGCAAGCGUUAUCCGGAUUCACUGGGUUUAAAGGGUGCGUAGGCGGGCAAGUAAGUCAGUGGUGAAAUCUCCGGGCUUAACUCGGAAACUGCCGUUGAUACUAUUUGUCUUGAAUAUCAUGGAGGUAAGCGGAAUAUGUCAUGUGGCGGUGAAAUGCUUAGAUAUGACAUAGAACACCGAUAGCGAAGGCAGCUUACUACAUGUUCAUUGACGCUGAGGCACGAAAGCGUGGGGAGCAAACAGG